rnacentral:tRNA from 1 species
GGUGUGGCCUAGUUGGUUAGGGCGCCAGAUUGUGGCUCUGGAGGUCGUGGGUUCAACUCCCAUCAC